UACGAAGGGGGGCUAGCGUUGCUCGGAAUCACUGGGCGUAAAGGGUGCGUAGGCGGGUCUUUAAGUCAGGGGUGAAAUCCUGGAGCUCAACUCCAGAACUGCCUUUGAUACUGAAGAUCUUGAGUUCGGGAGAGGUGAGUGGAACUGCGAGUGUAGAGGUGAAAUUCGUAGAUAUUCGCAAGAACACCAGUGGCGAAGGCGGCUCACUGGCCCGAUACUGACGCUGAGGCACGAAAGC
rnacentral:rRNA from 1 species